CUGGUCAGAGGAGAACAGCUCACAGGAGUCCAGAAACAAGUGCCCUGUUGUAAUGGAUCACUGCUGCAUGUCUGCUGCACACAAAUCCUGCUGGAGCCAGAUACACACAUGCAGCAGAGAGUGGUGAGUUCACACACACAAACACACACAUACACACGUUCAUCUCAUGGACUGCUGCUGCGUGAGUGUUCAGGUUGUAUUCAGUCCUCUCUUCAUGAUGUGGAGUCACCUGCCAGAUCCGGUUCUGGUUCAUGUGGAGAAAAAGGAAUCUGGGUCACAGAGACACACCGCUCAUUCACGGCUGCGGCCACCAGGAGGCGCUGCUGAACAUGGAUGAAGAUCUGACACACCACCUCACCUUCCAGACCAGCCACCAGAUCCAGUCUGUAUCCAGAUCAGAGGGUCACUGCAGUCACCCGGAUCCAG